UACAGAGGGGGGCAAGCGUUAUUCGGAAUUAUUGGGCGUAAAGGGCGCGUAGGCGGCUUGGCAAGUGGAUGGUGAAAUCCCUCGGCUUAACCGAGGAACUGCCGUCCAAAACUGCUUCGCUUGAGACCGGGAGAGGUGAGUGGAAUUCCCCAGUGUAGCGGUGAAAAUGCGUAGAUAUUGGGGAGGAACACCAGUGGCGAAGGCGGCUCACUGGACCGGUACUGACGCUGAUGCGCGAAAGCGUGGGGGAGCAAACGGGG
rnacentral:rRNA from 1 species